rnacentral:rRNA from 1 species
UACGUAGGGUGCGAGCGUUAAUCGGAAUUACUGGGCGUAAGCGUGCGCAGGCGGUUUUGUAAGCCAGGUGUGAAAUCCCGCGGCUCAACCAUGGAACUGCCUCAGAUACUGACGGUCUCGAGGGAGGUAGGGGCGAGCGGAACUGAUGGUGGAGCGGUGAAAUGCGUUGAUAUCAUCAGGAACUCCGGUGGCGAAGGCAGCUCGCUGGACCUUUUCUGACGCUGAGGCGCGAAAGCUAGGGGAGCAAACGGG